rnacentral:misc_RNA from 1 species
AACGCAUAUUGCACUCUCUGGUUUUCCAGGAGUAUGCCUGUUUGAGGGUCAGUUAAAUAAAAAUCGAGGUUGUUGCUGCCUUUCGUGGUGAAGCUUCGGAGUUGGGUCGUCUUUACCUUUGGUUAAGUGACCUAAAAUUUAAUAUGAUUUUUGAACGUAUUUAAAUGAUUUACGUACGUUUGUAACGUCAAAUAUUAGGAGUGGCCAUCCUUAUGGUUCGCGCCUAUAAUUUUUCAUCUAUUGACCUCAAAUCAGGUAAGAGUACCCGCUGAACUUAA